GAUGAAGAACGUAGCGAAAUGCGAUAAGUAAUGUGAAUUGCAGAAUUCAGUGAAUCAUCGAAUCUUUGAACGCACAUUGCGCCCGCCAGUAUUCUGGCGGGCAUGCCUGUUCGAGCGUCAUUUCUACCCUCAGGCCCCCAGUGCCUGGCGUUGGGGAUCGGCGCGGCGCCCUCCGGGGCGCUGCCGGCCCCGAAAUUCAGUGGCGGUCUCGCUGUAGCCCUCCUCCGCGUAGUAGCACAACCUCGCGGCCUGGAGCUCGGCGGUGGCCAUGCCGUAAAACACCCCACUUCUGAAAGUUGACCUCGGAUCAGGUAGGAAUACCCGCUGAACUUAAGCAUAUCAAUAAGCGGAGGA
rnacentral:misc_RNA from 1 species